GGGGGGGGGAACGUUGGGCACGGCAUAGCGAACAGGAUGCUGGGAGCUCGCUCCUUUACUGAAAACACUAAGCAGAUAAAAGAACUGGAAGUGCAGGGAGACCUUAAGCUCUCCUAGCUCAUCCCCAGAGGCACACUUCCUCCAGCAAGGCUGCACUGCCUAAAUCUCUGCGAACAGCAUUGCUAACUGGGGAACCAGUGUUCGAGGGCCCGAGACGGUGGUCUCAUUACCCCAGGUUGGCCUUGAACUUACCAUGGCCUCGAAUACCUGAUCCUUCUGUCUUCACCUUCUGGGAGCGAGGAUUACAGAUGCGUACACCCACACUGAGUUAUGAGGUGCUGGCGGUUAAAACAAGGACUCUGUGUGUGCUAGGUAAGCAUUCUACCCGUUGAGCUAUGUCUGGAAGCUUACCCACAGUUUCCUUAGAAGAAUUCGCUAAUGUGCAGACCCCGACUUUGCCACGGACUCCACUGUCUGGAGUGUAUCUGUAGAAAGUAACUCAAGAGCUAAGGAAGAAUGGCCUAAUCUCAUUUGUCAUGAGUCUGCCAGACUCUAGAUACCUUCUUAUCUGGGCAGGGCCCUACUUGGAUCUUAUUUUUUGAGCUUGGUGAAAACUUCAUUGCUAAGAGCCUGAAGCAGAGGUAGAACAAGGGUCUCACUUGCCCUCUUCCCCUGAUUAACAUGAGAGAAAGAUGCACUCUGUAUAGCCUGCGCCCAGUGAGGAAACGGAAGCUGCCCCAGGCUUGCCGAGGGGCAACUGUGUCUGGUGUUAGUGGAACUGGAAGAGAGGAAACUAAGAUCAGAUUUCCCAGCAUUCGUAACCGAGGGAGCUGCUCCACCUUUGUGUGUGAGAGAACACAGGGGCAGAGGCGCUCUUCAAAGUUCACGGUGAGUGACUCAAGCCCAAGCCAGCCAGGCAGAGUGGCAGAAGGCCAGCAGCAGCCUCCACUUGGCCCAGCUAUCGCAGCCUCAGCCUCCGCCAUCACUGACAGAGGUUACUCCUUCUCUGGAGACUGAAUCUACAGAGAAAGGCCUGUUUCCCUCCUCCCACCUCCCCAAGUCUUGUGAGAGCAGCCGCAGGUCGGCAAGGGCAGGCAGAAGGCAAGUCGGAAAUGCAGUUUUCAGGCUGGUGUUAGAGGACAAGGACACCAGCUGAGAGGAAGCAGUCCUCUCACGUCCAACCUUCCAUUCGCUUCUGAUGGUAAACAUCAAAGGACUCCCAAGACUUCAGAGUCAGUGGAAGAGAAGAUAGAUGUGGUGGGCUGGGUGCACAGCGGAAAGCUGAGAGCCAGAGGGACAAUGGAGGGGGCUUGGAAGAGGACGUUCUCUAGACUAGAGAGAAUCCUUUUAAGGGCAUCUGGGAAAUCCCUUCCCAGGGCUUGGUGUUAUUUACUGCACUUCACAGCAAGAAAGAAAUUAAAGGGCCUCUCCUUCCCUUCUCUUCUUGGGGUCACUGAUAGAUCUGAGCUGCUCCAAGGCUCAUGGAAAUGGACGACAGUUCAGGAGCAGGAAUGACAAUUUCCAAGCCAAGCAGGUUGGAGCCGGCAAGGUGCAGACCUUGUGGGUUUAUUCCUGCUUGGUUGCAGAAUGCUGUGAUCUCCGGGGACGGCCCCAGAGACCUGGGUAUUUGCUGCUUAAGAGGCAAAGUCACAGUUGGUUAACCCCAUCUGCUUUGAAGAAACAGGGAAAGUCAGUCUCAGGCUCUGUGUAAGCUGAGCUCUUCCUUGGGCCUCUCCCUUAGGCCGAUGUUUGCUUGGGGGGUUUUAAGCUCUGUUGUAUGCAAGAUAAUUAAAACCCUUACUCUGCUA